GAUGAACGCUGGCGGCGUGCUUAACACAUGCAAGUCGAACGGGAAACCUUUUAUUGAAGCUUCGGCAGAUUUAGCUGGUUUCUAGUGGCGGACGGGUGAGUAACGCGUGGGUAACCUGCCUUAUACAGGGGGAUAACAGUCAGAAAUGGCUGCUAAUACCGCAUAAGCGCACAGAGCUGCAUGGCUCAGUGUGAAAAACUCCGGUGGUAUAAGAUGGACCCGCGUUGGACUAGCUGGUUGGUGGGGUAACGGCCCACCAAGGCGACGAUCCAUAGCCGGCCUGAGAGGGUGAACGGCCACAUUGGGACUGAGACACGGCCCAGACUCCUACGGGAGGCAGCAGUGGGGAAUAUUGCACAAUGGGGGAAACCCUGAUGCAGCGACGCCGCGUGAAGGAAGAAGUAUCUCGGUAUGUAAACUUCUAUCAGCAGGGAAGAUAAUGACGGUACCUGACUAAGAAGCCCCGGCUAACUACGUG
rnacentral:rRNA from 1 species